GGCGCUGUAGUGUAGUGGUUAUCACUCGGGAUUUUGACGCGCAGAUCUUUCCCGAAACCCAGGUUCGAACCCUGGCAGAGCCU